CAAUAGCGUAUAUUAAAGUUGUUGCAGUUAACAAGCUCGUAGUUGGAUUUGUGGCGUACGGUGUGUUCCGGGCACUUGUUGUCUGAGUAACCUGCUGUUGCCAUCCUUGGGUGGAACCUGUGUGGCAUUAGGUUGUCGUGCAGGGGAUGCCCAUCAUUUACUGUGAAAAAAUUAGAGUGUUCAAAGCAGGCUUAUGCCGUUGAAUAUAUUAGCAUGGAAUAAUGAGAUAGGACUUUUUUGCUAUUUUGUUGGUUUGCGCAAAGAGGUAAUGAUUAAUAGGGACAGUUGGGGGUAUUCGUAUUCCAUUGUCAGAGGUGAAAUUCUUGGAUUUUUGGAAGACGAACUACUGCGAAAGCAUUUACCAAGGAUGUUUUCAUUAA
rnacentral:rRNA from 1 species